AUAUAGUCAAUGUAUUAUAGUUAUAGUAUAUCUAAUUUUUUUUUUUUAAAUUGAGGGGGACAAAAAGUAAUAUAUUUCAAUAUUAGAUUAGCUUUUAUAUAGGGGGCAGGAGUGACCAUCAUGAAAGAUUUUUUGGUGAAAUUUAAAUUAAAUAUUCUAAAUUGAAUUUUACUUGCUAAAAAUGGCUGAAAAUCAGACUGAAUUAGACUACAAACAACUUAUUAACCACUAUUAAUGGUUCGAUUCAGAAAAAGCCAAAAGGUUUGGUUAACUGAAUUAUGAUCACUUGUACCUAAAUUCGAUUAUCUAUUUUGACAUGUUACACCAUUAAACUUUUUUUUUUUUAAUCAAUUGCAUCAUUGAACUUUUACUUUUGUAUUUAAUAGGCAAGAUUUGCAAGGUCAUUUAGAACAACUUAAGGUGCAACAUGUCAAAAUAAAAUUUUAAAGAGUGCUAUAGGUUGAACUGUUGAAAUAAAAGGUCAAGUCUAUAUUAAAUAUUUCAAAGAGUUCAGCAGAAAAUUUGUAUAUUUAGGCAAUAUGGAAAUAAAUGACAAACAAUUAUAACCAUCUUUACCAUCCCAAAUUUAAAACACAAUUUUGGAAACAACAUAAAUCAAUGGAUUUGUGAAUUAUUACAGCCCUGCUUUGUUCUCCAAUUAAAUACUGUGUUAAGCUUUAGCCAUUGCUCAUGGUCUAGCCAAAUUGUUUAUCACAUGAAAACUCAUGAUCUCUAAUAUUUAACAAUUAUGAGAUAUCAAGCCCAAACAAAAAGGGAUGAAACCAAUAUAAAAAAUAUAAACUUUGAACAGUGCACUACUAAGAGAGAAGAAUAAAUACCUGAGUGAGGCCAA
rnacentral:misc_RNA from 1 species